ACUGGGUGCAGUGGCGCACACCUGUAAUCCCAGCUACUCAGGAGGAUGAGGCAGGAGGAUGGCAAGUUUGAGGCCAGCCUUGUCAACUGAGCAAGACCCUGUCUCUA
rnacentral:sRNA from 1 species